rnacentral:rRNA from 1 species
UCUGCUCAAUGAUUUUUUAAAUUGCUGUGGUAUUUUGACUAUACGAAGGUAUUGAAAUAAGACUUUUAAUGAGUGCUAAGAGAAUGGCAGUACAAUUUUUAGCUGUCUUUUUUUUAUAAAUAAAAUUUUACUUUUUUUGUGAAGAGGCAAAAAUUUUUUUAAGGGACAAGAAGACCCUAUGAAUUUUUUUUUCUUAACUUAAUUUCAUAUUAAGUUAAGAAAAUUAGUUGGGGCGAUUAAUAAAGAUUAAAAAUCUUUGUUAACUAUCAUAACUGGAUCCAAUAAUAUUGAUUAUUUGAAUAAAAUACUCUAGGGAUAACAGCGUAAUAAUUUUGGAUAGCUCAUAUUGAUAAAAUUGAUUGCGACCUCGAUGUUGGAUUAGGAUUCUUAUUUAACGAAGAAGUUAAAAUAAGAAGUUUGUUCAACUUAUAACUUCCUACUUGAUCUGAGUUCAGACCGGA